rnacentral:misc_RNA from 1 species
AAGUCGUAACAAGGUUUCCGUAGGUGAACCUGCGGAAGGAUCAUUACGCAUAGGGACUGGCAGCCGAGUCCCCACCUAGCGAAAAUUAGGUGGGGUAAGGUGCGCCAGCAACCCCCCGACGCAUAUCGCCGGGCCCACCCGCUCGCCUUUUUGAGCACCAUUUCGUUUCCUCGGCGGGCUUGCCCGCCACUGGGGACCCUCAAAAACCUUUUGUAAUGAGAAGUAACAGUAUCAUAAAAAAAUUUAUCACAA